GAAAAAGCAAGGACUUCCACCAGGCACACAACAAUGAUUACAUAAAGUCCUUAGACGAGAUGUGACAUAUUCUGUAUGAAAACUAGUAACAUGUUGCUUUGUGCAAAUACUAUAAUCGACAUUCUUGGAGAUGAACAGGGAUGAGACAUCAACAGAUGGUGCUGUUUGCAGAAGAUGCGCUCAGUGAGCUGUAAGCUGCAGACACCAAAUGAGCAGCAUUGCCAAAGGUCUCCAGGCAAUAAGGAUGAGAGUGGCAGGGCCAUAAGAUGUCUAUUUAUAUCAACAGCCUACGGAAGAACAGCAGCCUUUGGUUUUGCACAUUAACACACACAACUACAGCAUAAAGCAGAUGCCAGCAUACUUGUAUUGAUCAAAACUAAGCUUGAGGAUGAGAUGGAAAUGUACCUUAACACUGUCCUGUUAAGGAGAGAAGAAGUCACAGGGUGCUCAGGCUGAUCUGUUCAAAUAUAUAUGCUAUAGUUAUGAGUCCAGCAGUUGCAUUACCAUAUGUCAGAAGGCUGGUCUGCUGAUGUACAGGUACAGAAAAUGGUUAAAAAAGAGCAUUGAGUAUGCUUGAUUCUGAAUAAUUGUUGUUGUAUAGGUUUUGUUUUGAAUAGCAGUUCCCACUUUGUAGUCACCUGUUCUUAUGUGGUGUCACAUGGUGCUGUAGGCAGGCAUAAGACAAAUAAAAGCAUAAUAAAAUGGUU